rnacentral:snRNA from 1 species
CUCUAUUUUUUAAGGGAG